GGGUUUGGCUACUUGCGCAUGGGCGAAGCCUGAGCAGCAACGCCGCGUGAGGGAUGACGGCCUCUCGGGUUGUAAACCUCCCUCAGCUCCGACGAAGCGGAUGUGACGGUAGGAGCAGAAGAAGCACCGGCCAACUACGUGCCAGCAGCCGCGGUAAUACGUAGGGUGCAAGCGUUGUCCGGAAUUAUUGGGCGUAAAGAGCUCGUAGGCGGUCUGUCGCGUCGGCUGUGAAAACUCGGGGCUCAUCUUCCGAGCUUUGCAGUCGAUACGGGCAGGCUAGAGUUUCGGCAGGGGAGACUGGACUUCCUUGGUGUAGCGUUGAAAUGCGCAGAUAUCAGGAGGAACACCGGUGGCGAAGGCGGGUCUCUGGGCCGAUACUUGACGCUGAGGAGCGAAAGCGUGGGGAGCGAACAGGAUUAGAUACCCUGGUAGUCCACGCCGUAAACGUUGGGCGCUUAGGUGUAGGAUCCUUUCCCGGGUUCCUGUGCCGCAGCUUAACGCACUAAGCGCCCCGCCUGGGG
rnacentral:rRNA from 1 species